UGGGUAACGAGUGGACUAUCUUAACUGC
rnacentral:piRNA from 1 species